rnacentral:rRNA from 1 species
CUUGACGACCAUAGAGCAUUGGAACCACCUGAUCCCAUCCCGAACUCAGUAGUGAAACGAUGCAUCGCCGAUGGUAGUGUGGGGUU